UUACUGGUGGCUAAGUAGGUAAAGAAUCUGCCUGCAAUGCUGGAGACCUGGGUUCAAUCCCUGGUUGGGAAG
rnacentral:tRNA from 1 species